rnacentral:tRNA from 1 species
GCCGAGGUGGCAGAGUUGGUCAACGCACCGGUCUGAAAAACCGGCAAUACAGGUUCGAUCCCUGUCCUCGGCA